GCACAACGCGAAGAACCUUACCCACCUUUGACAUGUACGGAAUCCUUUAGAGAUAGAGGAGUGCUCGAAAGAGAGCCGUAACACAGGGGCUGCAUGGCUGUCGUCAGCUCGUGUCGUGAGAUGUUGGGUUAAGUCCCGCAACGAGCGCAACCCUUGCCAUUAGUUGCUACGAAAGGGCACUCUAAUGGGACUGCCGGUGACAAACCGGAGGAAGGUGGGGAUGACGUCAAGUCCUCAUGGCCCUUAUAGGUGGGGCUACACACGUCAUACAAUGGCUGGUACAAAGGGUUGCCAACCCGCGAGGGGGAGCUAAUCCCAUAAAGCCAGUCGUAGUCCGGAUCGCAGUCUGCAACUCGACUGCGUGAAGUCGGAAUCGCUAGUAAUCGUGGAUCAGAAUGUCACGGUGAAUACGUUCCCGGGUCUUGUACACACCG
rnacentral:rRNA from 1 species